rnacentral:rRNA from 1 species
CCUACGGGUGGCAGCAGUGAGGAAUAUUGGUCAAUGGGCGCGAGCCUGAACCAGCAAAGUAGCGUGAAGGAUGACUGCCCUACGGGUUGUAAACUUCUUUUAUAAAGGAAUAAAGUGAGGCACGUGUGCCUUCUUGUAAGUACUUUCUGAAUAAGGAUCGGCUAACUCCGUGCCAGCAGCCGCGGUAAUACGGAGGAUCCGAGCGUUAUCCGGAUUUAUUGGGUUUAAAGGGAGCGUAGAUGGGUUGUUAAGUCAGUUGUGAAAGUUUGCGGCUCAACCGUAAGAUUGCAAUUGAUACUGGCAGUCUUGAGUGCAGUUGAGGUAGGCGGAAUUCGUGGUGUAGCGGUGAAAUGCGUAGAUAUCACGAAGAACUCCGAUUGCGAAGGCAGCUUACUAAGCUGCCACUGACACUGAUGCUCGAAAGUGUGGGGAUCAAACAGGAUUAGAUACCCUUGUAGUC